UACGUAGGGGGCAAGCGUUGUCCGGAUUCAUUGGGCGUAAAGAGCGUGUAGGCGGCCAGGUAGGUCGGUUGUGAAAACUGGAGGCUCAACCUUCAGACGUCGACCGAAACCAUCUGGCUAGAGUCCGGGAGAGGAGAGUGGAAUUCCUGGUGUAGCGGUGAAAUGCGUAGAGAUCGGGAAGAACGCCAAGGGCGAAGGCACUCUGCUAGGCCUGAUUUCGCGACUGACACUCAGGGACGAGAGCCAGGGGAGCGAAUGGG
rnacentral:rRNA from 1 species